rnacentral:rRNA from 1 species
CACGUAGGGGACGAGCGUUGUCCGGAAUCAUUGGGCGUAAAGCGCGUGUAGGCGGCUCGGUAAGUCUGCUGUGAAAGUCCAGGGCUCAACCCUGGGAUGCCGGUGGAUACUGUCGAGCUCGAGUCCGGAAGAGGCGAGUGGAAUUCCUGGUGUAGCGGUGAAAUGCGCAGAUAUCAGGAGGAACACCUAUGGCGAAGGCAGCUCGCUGGGACGUGACUGACGCUGAGACGCGAAAGCGUGGGGAGCAAACAGG